AUUGCAAGUCACACCAAAUAUUCACAAGACUAUUAACAUAUAUAUAACUUGUAGAUCUCAAUAUCCGAAUGCACCAACACUCUUCCUAAUGUCUUCUAACUUCAAUUCAAGCAUGUUCACAUAUAUCACAGGGAUAACAAUUCAUUCACAUAUUUUGUUAACAAUCACAACAACACUUGUUUAUUGUUUAUUUCAUCUCUUUGGAGCAACUCAAAUCCAAGGUUGGAAAUGGAAUCGAUCUCCGCCGUGCAACCACCCUAAUCGAGUAACAUCAUAUCAGACUUCAUCACGCAUCCAGCAACGGCCGCAGUAGAUUCGGCAAACAACCAGAUAACAAACGUCAUCGGUAAGCCCAACCGCACCUCUCAGCACUGCUUCCGUUCAGUCAUCCACCGUCAGAUUCGUACCACCUGCAACCUUCAUGAUUCAACAUCAUCGACACAAAAGCAACGACCUCAAGCAUCACUAUUCGGAAUUUCAAAAGAAAGAAGGAGAAGAACAAAGAACCGAAAACGAAUCGAGCAACCUUGAAGUUGAUGGAGCACCACCUCCGAAAGCACCUGGACCCAGCCACAACGCCAACACGUCGGAUCACCACCGGGAUCGCCCAAUCACCGCAAAGACUGCAAAACGGCACCUCCGAUCAACCUGCGGUCGCGCGACUACCUCCUCCCAUCACGUCAAUCUCCACCGAUGCCAAAUCCGAAUCUUGUGCAGGGCAAUUGUAUUGGGAUGUGUGGUAUUUGGUUGCAAGGAACUGUUUUGGGAAUGGAUGGCUUAUCCUUAACGGUUUUGGUAACUUUGGAGAGAACAUUAAUGAGGAAUAAGUGAGGGGCCUUUUCACUCUGUAUAUGCAUCUUAUCCUUUCACACAGGCUCUACUGUUAAAUCUAUGUAGUAUUUGCUAUGUUGUCUCAUGUAUGUGAUUAAUCUGUUGAACUUGGCUUUCUAAUGCAGACAACCUGGUUUUAAGCAAAUGAAGAUUUUAAGACAGGAGAGGCUUACUGUCUGCUUCAUUGAGUUUGAAAGUCUGUAAACUUUUGUUCAUAUUUGUGAUUUUUAUUGUCUCAAAAAUCUUUUCUUGCACUGUGUUUCUGUAAAAUUUAAUACUUAUCUUGUGUUUUCAUUCAAACAUUCCUCAGUUUGGUAUUCAAUAACCUAUUGCAGGAUUUGAAUAGUGCUACAAAUGUACACCACAAUUUACAGGGUUCUGUUAUCCCAAGUUCUGGUUCAAUUGGCAUGCGGAUACAUCCUUUUUUACUGUCAAGCAUGUGAAGCUCUGUUUUCUUGAUUAUUUUUCAACUCAUGUUCAUUCCAUAACUAAUCCAACAUCUGGGGGUUUUAUGACGAUGGAAUACAUGAGAAGUUUUUGCUUAAAUACUUCGCACUUAUUCAUAUUCAUCAUGUAUGUUUGCUUUUGUCUUUUUAAUGUAAGGCGUAGCUGGGAACAAAUGCUCUUGACCCGAUAAUAGUUUCUAAGCUACGACGUGCCGCAGGAUUGGCAAUUCUAGAGGCCAAAAAGUAUAAGCUUGCUGAUUAUAUCCAACAUUAUUUUUUUUCUAACUUACCCUAAUUUACUUUCAUUUGUACAUAUGUUUUAUUUCAUAUCUGAUGUUACGAGACUGAUAAAUUAAAAUGGUUUCUCUUACAUUUCCUAUCAUAGGCAACAACUCAUGAAUUUAUGGAGGCAGCUCAUGCUCUUUUAGUCAUAUUUCUGGGUUCAAUAAAGCAGUUGAUCAAACUCGCUCAAGAUUUGGUUAGAAAAUUAGUAUUUUUAUCUACCAUAGGCUGCUCAUUUAUCCACUGUUGGUAAUAUUUGUAUAUUUUGCUCAUUUUUUCAAUGUUUGCUAGGAAUUUUGUAAUUGCAAAGGAAUAUGUAAAGACACAGAUUCACCCAGUAGAUCUACUAAGUGUUCUUCGU